rnacentral:rRNA from 1 species
UACGAGGGGUGCAAGCGUUGCUCGGAAUUAUUGGGCGUAAAGGGUAGGUAGGUGGUCUCAUUUGUCUGGGGUGAAAGCCUUGAGCUUAACUCAAGAAGUGCCCCAGAAACGGUGAGACUGGAGUCCUGGAGAGGGUCGUGGAAUUCCCGGUGUAGCGGUGAAAUGCGUAGAGAUCGGGAGGAACACCAGAGGCGAAGGCGGCGACCUGGACAGGUACUGACACUCAACUACGAAAGCGUGGGGAGCAAACAGG